GUAAGGAAUAUUGGACAAUGGUCGCAAGACUGAUCCAGCCAUGCCGCGUGCAGGAUGACGGCCCUAUGGGUUGUAAACUGCUUUUGUACGGGAAAAAACCCCUCUACGUGUAGAGGGCUGAUUGUACUGUAAGAAUAAGGAUCGGCUAACUCCGUGCCAGCAGCCGCGGUAAUACGGAGGAUCCAAGCGUUAUCCGGAUUCAUUGGGUUUAAAGGGUGCGUAGGCGGAAUGAUAAGUCAGUGGUGAAAGCCUGUUGCUUAACAACAGAACUGCCAUUUGAUACUGUCAAUCUUGAGUACAUUUGAUGUGGGCGGAAUGUGUCAUGUAGCGGUGAAAUGCUUAGAUAUGACACAGAACACCGAUUGCGAAGGCAGCUCACAAAACUGUAACUGACGCUGAGGCACGAAAAGCGUGGGUAUCAAACAGGAUUA
rnacentral:rRNA from 1 species